GUUUGUGCUCAGUAUCCUAGUGCACACGCCUUGCAAGCGACGGCGCCAUGAGUCUGACUUCCAGUUCCAGCGUACGAGUUGAAUGGAUCGCAGCAGUUACCAUUGCUGCUGGGACAGCUGCAAUUGGUUAUCUAGCUUACAAAAGAUUUUAUGUUAAAGAUCAUCGAAAUAAAGCUAUGAUAAACCUUCACAUCCAGAAAGACAACCCCAAGAUAGUACAUGCUUUUGACAUGGAGGAUUUGGGAGAUAAAGCUGUGUACUGCCGUUGUUGGAGGUCCAAAAAGUUCCCAUUCUGUGAUGGGGCUCACACAAAAUAUAACGAAGAGACUGGAGACAAUGUGGGCCCUCUGAUCAUCAAGAAAAAAGAAACUUAAAUGGACACUUUUGAUGCUGCAAACCAGCUUGUUGUGAAGUUACCUGACUGUUUAAUUAGAAUGACUACCACCUCUGUCUAAUUCACCUUCGCUGGGUUCUAAAUGUGGUGUAUUGCAAACUGCAGCCUUCACAUUCAUGGCAUUUGUCUUGAUGAAACAUCGUGGUGCACAUUUGUUUAAACAAAAAAAAAAAAAAAAGGAAAAACCAA